rnacentral:rRNA from 1 species
AUGGAGGAGGUGACGGAGGCGGUGAACAACCUUACCAUAGGGGAAGGAGCAGCGGCGACGGCGGGAGCGGAGGGGCACAAGAAGAACCGCAUCCAGGUCUCCAACACCAAGAAGCCCCUCUUCUUCUACGUCAACCUCGCCAAGAGGUACAUGCAGCUGCACGAAGAGGUGGAGCUCUCGGCCCUCGGCAUGGCUAUUGCAACUGUGGUGACUGUUGCGGAAAUUCUAAAAAAUAACGGCCUUGCUGUUGAGAAGAAAAUAAUGACAUCUACUGUUGAUGUCAAAGAUGAUACAAGGAACCGCCCUAUCCAGAAGGUCAAGAUCGAAAUAUUGAUUGGCAAGACGGAGAAAUUCGAUGAACUGAUGGCUGCCGCUGCAGAGGAGAGGGAGGCAGCGGGCGCUGAGGAAGAGCAAAGCUGA